GGAGGCCAGCCAACCAGAAGAGUCUCUGAGGUGUACUUGCCUGGAAGGAGAGUCAGCAUCCAAAGUCAGGUCCAGUCCUAAGGUUGGGAAAACAGCAACUCGUGUGGUCAGACAGUCCAGGGAUCAGGGAAUCUGAUGAUCAGAGGCUGAAGAUUCAAAAUGAGCAGGAAGCAGCAAGAUAGAGCCAGGUACUACAAGUGUUGUUACCAGCACCUGACUGCUGCUGGAAGUUCUGCUUAAGAAAACUGAAGCCAGCUGGUUCACGUUAGUGCCUUCUCUGUGUUCUUGAAGGCUGAUCAGUUGCAGGUGGAGUCACUCCACCUUCUCCCCCUUCAGGCUGCUGUUCUGCAGGUGAAGCUGACUGCUCGUCCAUGACACUUGGUUCCCAGUGCUGCUGCAUUGGUCAUGCCGCCCUAAAACUGCUUCUGUUUGGACAUCCCAUGGAAGGGCUCAUGGAGAAGGGCUUCAAAUGAAGAUUGCAGGGUCUGGAUUAGUUCAUGUGAGGAAAUACUGAGGUACUGCUCUCCUGAGCUGCAUAUUAGAUCUUUAUAGGUCAAAACCAAUACUUUGAAUUGAUUCUGGAAACUAAUCAGUAGCCAUCGCCAAAACUGGUGUUAUGUGCUCAGACUGCCUGCUGAAUUUUGCACCAGCUGCAGUUUCUAAACCAUAGCACAUUGCAGUAAUCUAACCUAGAGGUUAGCAGAGCAUAGACAAUAGAAGUUAGGCUAUCCCUCUCCAGACAGGGGUGCAGCUAGGCCACCAGCCAAAGCUGAUUCCACAGAGGCCACUUGAGCCUCAUGCAACAGGGUUGAAUCCAGAAGUGUCCUCAACCUGCAUCUUCAGAGCAGGCCACAUCCUACCCAUCCAGUCCAUUAACACCCUGAUGCUAUGUAGUGCUGGAUAUGUGUAACUCCAUUGUAUCAAUAAUAUCGUCUAUAGCACGGAGGUUUUGGAGUUCAGUUCAAGCCCUGAUUCAAGGCUGUGACCCUGAUAAAUUCUGCAACAUUGUGUCCACAGAAAACCUGGCAAGUUUAGUGUUAGAGGGAGGUAGUGCCUACUGCAAAUGUCAAUCUUUAAAUAUAUCAUGUUAGGACGCAUCACAGGAAUAAAUUGUAAUUCAUUCCAACAGAAACCAAUCUACCCACUUUACUUUGUCACAUGAAUGCCAUCCAAGGGAAGGGGGGGGGGAAUCUGUCAUCUAGCCUUCAGAAUUGAAGCAAAAUUGAUCAUUUUCCUCUCCUUUCCAUAUCUCUUUGCCACUUGUCAGUCAGAAGCCAGAUGACCUGUGUUAAAAUAUCCAUUAAUUUUUAAACAUGUUUACUCAUUUUUGCCAGGAAGGGGGAAAUGAAAUGCAAAUGUCUAAAAUUAAAUUUUGGGUUGAUAGGAAAACAUUGUGACAGGGAUAAAAACUGACCUGCAGCCUCACUUUAUAAUGUCAUUUUAGCUGUGAGGGCAAUUAUCCAUCUGUAACAAAAUGGUGAACCAUUUCUGUCUAAUGAGAAGCAGAUAUCUGAUUUGCAUAAAUGUCUUAACAAAUAGUUCUUAUUCUUAGAAUAAUUGCUAGACUGGUUUUUCUAUGUUUUAUCUCCCUUUUUUAUUACUAUUGCUCCAUAACAGAAACUUCUGUUAUCACUUCUUCUGUACAUAAAUAGAUCUAUAAACCCAAACAAGAUGUUUAAUGGAAAGUAAUGUGAGCCAAACUUCUCUGGACACAUAAUAUAAACUCUUUUAAACUCUUUUAAAUACUUCAGCCAUUCAAACCUGUGAAUUUCUUAUAUUUGUGAGAUUUUCAGAGUCUGAUGUGUAUGUGUGUGCCUGCACCCAGAGAGGUGAACAAUUUAAUUGAUUGAUUAAUUAAUUGAUCAUUUAGUUUAGCGCCCUUCAUCCGAAGAUCUCAAGGCAGUUCACUGCAUAAAAAGACAAAAUAAAAUGACAAAAUGCAUAAUAAAAAUAAGAACAAAAACAAACCAGUAACCCCGCCUCCACAAACACAUUUAAAAGGGCAUACAAGGUUAAGCAUUCUCUCCCUCCCUUGUGAGAACAUUUCCCAAAGGGGGAGACACUGCAUAAAAGGCCUGUACUUGUGUUGCCACCCUCUGGACCUCUCAUGGAGGCGGCCUCAGAAUGGUCCGGGUAGGUUCAUAUGGAGAGAGGCGUUCCUUGAGGUAUUGCAGUACUCAGCCAUUUAAAGCUUUAUAGGUCAAAACCAGCACUUUGAAUUGGACCCAGAAACUAAUUGACAGCCAGUGUCCUUGGGGCAGAAUUGGUGUAAUAUGUUCAAACUUUCUUUCCGCAGUGAGCAACCUGGCCAUCAAAUUCUGCAUCAGCUGAAGUUUCUGAACUGUCCAGAGACAGCUCCAUAUAGAACAUGUUGCAGUAAUCUAGCCUGGAGGUUACCCAGAGCAUAGACGACAGAAAUUAGGCUAUCCCUGUCCAGAUAGGGGCGCAGCUGGGCCACCAGUCAAAGCUAAUGGAAGGCACUCUGCUACCCAAGCCUCAAGCAACAGCAGAGGAUCCAGAAGUACCCACAAGCUAUGUACCCAUUCCUUCAGAAGGAGUGUAACUCCAUAAAGAGCAAGGUACUACCCAUCCAUCCAGUCUAGGGAACCACCCACUAACAGUGUCUCAGUCUUAUCUGUGUCAAGGGCCUUAUCCAUUCAGAUAUUCCUUAAGUCAACCAUGGCUUCUACAGGACUGCCAGUCAUAUCAGCCUGGAUAUCCCUCAGGGCAGUCUGGAAAGUGAUUGACUCGGUCAGUCUCUGAGGGUGGACGAUCCUCAUAGGUCCUCUGUGGGAGGUGAAGCUGCUAGGGAACAAUACAGCAUGGCAAUGUAGGAUUGUUUUCAGGAGACGUUCUGCAGGGUGAAGGAUGGCUGCCUCCAUUAGGCCCAAGCUGACACUUGGAAAAACCCUCACCAACUUAAUAUUUGAGCUUAAAGCAAUAUGAAUGUUUUGCAAAAUUCACCUCCCUUCUCUGCCUGAAAGUUGCUGAAUAUACCCCACCUUUGUGAAAGAUGAAUGGUUUCAAAAAAGAGGGGUGGCUAUUAGACCCAAAUUCUAAAUCAUUCAACUCUGAAAAAAGAAGAAGAGGAGUUUGGAUUUGAUAUCCCCCACUUUAUCACUACCUGAAGGAGUCUCAAAGCAGCUAACAUUCUCCUUUCCCUUCUUCCCCCACAACAAACACUCUGUGAGGUGAGUGGGGCUGAGAGACUUCAGAGAAGUGUGACUAGCCCAAGGUCACCCAGCAGCUGCAUGUGGAGGAGCGGAGACGCGAAACCGGUUCCCCAGAUUAUGAGUCUACUGCUCUUAACCACUACACCACACUGGCUCUCGGUGAAAUGAAACAAAAAAUAUUCCAUCCAUCCUUACUCAAAGGCAGAUCAGAACUGGGGACACCCUGCUUCUUCUAUAGUGCAUUCCAAACUGCAUAAUGGUCUUCAGUGUAUCAAGUUUAAAGGUGAGGGGCACAGGGCAAAACUGUACUUGCACUCAGGCAGAGGUUUCAGCUGGAUUACCUUGUGGACCCUUUCAGAUUUAUGAAUCUAACUUUCUAUAGUCCAGAGAUACAAAGGGAAAGAACUGUCAGAAGGCAAAGGGAAAAAAGCCCAAUGCUGAAGUGUCACAUUUCACAGAUUUAUUAUGCGUUUGCAGUGCAGAUAAACUCAGUGGGAGAAGUUAAUAUCAAUUGAUAGAUACGGUGGAGGUGGUGCCCACACCGAGCAUGAGCUGCUGUGGUUUAAGUAGAUUUUAAUGCCCAGUUGGAAAUAUACUUUGAUGUAACAGAAAAGUUCACGGAUUGACUGAGAAAUUGUAAGGAAAUGACUACCACCAAAGAGUACAGCUCUGCAAACAUUUUUUUUCCCUGUCAAAGCAAACCUUAAUAUACAGUUGCUAUUUUCACAAUUCUUUUUAUAACUAUAAAGGGUUCAGAAUCUUGCCUUUUUUGUAAUGGUAUUUAAUUGGCUCUCUCUAUUAGCUGUUGUUGCUGUUUUUAAAUUCCUAACCUCUUCAUAAGUCACUGGGACUGAGUGGGCUAGAAUUGUAUUUAAUAGAGUCAAGUUAAGAUGACACUAUUAUUAUCUACUGUUAUCUACUAUUAUCUACUUUUACUUCUUAAUUACAUAAAAAUAUUAAUAGUGCACCGUAUCUGCUGCAAAGUUACCUCUUUGAUUACUUAGGUGAAGUGGGGUGGGGCAGAAUGUUGUAGAACAGAAAUCUGGGUGUGCAAAUCACUGUACUAUGCCAUUUCAAUUAGGAUUCCCCCCCCUUAAUUUCCCAGCUAAUACAGCAAUCUUGCAUGAUUGGGAGUCUGUUUGGAUUGCUAUGGGGAAAGUCCCCAGUAUAUAAAACAAAACAAAAACAAAACAAAACAAAACACAAUUGUACUUAUUAAAGUUUUUGUUUAGAUAUGUAAUGGCUUCUGCAAAGACAAGUUCUGUCUCAUGAAGCUUUUACAGUUCUUUGAGAGUGUCAACAAGCAUAUAGCUACAGCUCGUCUUACUUCAGAAAUGACAUUGUGCAGCUCAAAAAAGGGUAACCAAUAUGAUCAAGAGGCUAGAACAACUUCCCUUUGAGGAAAGGGACACAAUUUGGGGAUUUUUUUAAAGAUAAGAUAAAAGCCAAGUGAGCUUUGACAUGACAGAGAUAUAUAAAAUUACAUGUGAUAUGGUAAAAGCUGAGAGACAAAAGUUCUAUUCCUUCUGUGAUGGCGCCAAAAACUGGGAUCAUUCGGUGAAGGAGAAUGCUGGAAGAAUCAGGACAGAGAAAAUUAAGUACUUCUUUGCACAGCACAUAGUUAAACUAUGGAGUUAGCUACCACAAGGUGGUAAUUACCACAUCUCUCACCAACUUGGAGAGCUUUAAAAGAGGAUUAUACAAAUGUCUAGGCUGUACUGUCUUUAGUACUGAAAGGAGUAAACCUCUGAAUGCCAGUUGCUAUUGUACUCAGAUCCUGCUCACAAGUUUUCCAUUAGCAGCUGGGCAGCCACUGUUAAAACAGGGUGCUGGAGUCUUCUGUUUAUAAAAUACACACAGAGAACACAAGAAACCUCUAGGCUCUGCAGGUUAGGGAGGAUGGCAGGUCUGUUCACAAGACUCAUAUGUAUUUAGUCAGUGAAAGUUAUUCAUGCAUUGUACAGUGGAACACAGUGGCAAGGGGUGGGCUGGAUUCUAUACACAUCCCAAAGACACCUCACAUUUCUCCUACUCGUCUCUGGUACAAGUGUGUCAAUAGUGGAGAAAAAGAGGCUAUAUGAAAAAGACUAUAGUUACAGAAGUCCUCAGAACAUGUGAGUUGUGGGGUGGUUUGUUCUUCAUGUAUUGUUCUAUGUUCCUAUCCCAUGAGCACCAGACAUUUUAAGGAAGCUAUUUACAGGUUGUGAUACAACACAGGAGUCUAUCAUUGAAAAAAAGAGGGGGAAAGGGGAAACAUCUCAGGGGGCAUGCCUAAAAUACCUGCAGUCAUUUGUGAUAUUGUGUGUUAUUCAAAAGAGAGAGGGAGGGAGGUGACAAGACAAAAGAUGCCUAAAGUAGCUUUUUGGAAUCUGGCUGGUAUAGCUACAUGCUGUCACAAGGGAAUAGGCAUGCUCUGGAAAGGAGAAGUAUUCUAAGAAGAAGACAUACUAUGAAGCUCACAUAGUGACCACACUUGUGGAAGAAAGUGUGGGGAAGAUAAAUGAAACACAGAAGUGGCCAAGAGAAAGACUAGAGCCAUUCAAAGAUGUGACAGGAACGAGUUUGGUGAAUGAAGAGCAAUAGAAAUAGUACAGACAACAGGUAAGCUUACAGUCUGGAACAUUUAAGGCUGCAGAUUUGUGGUUGUUCUUUUUCCCUGAAAGAGGAAAGAACUGUCAUUAUGAUGGAACCCAAAAGUGAUGGGAACAUAAAAUAAAACUGGUAAAAGAGAAAAGUCCUAAUGUACAAGAACUGUAGCUUUAAGAAUUCUGCCACUGAAAUUACACCAGCACUGUUUGGACUGGGAUUUAUACUGGAUCAAGAACAGAGAUGGAAAAAUAGAGAGAAAAGCUGACUAAGCCACCAGAAAUAGACUAGAGAAAAACAAACAAAACCAGCAGAAAUUUAACAGUAUGUACAUACACAUGCUACAAGAGACAGAGCCAACAUGGGCUGUUAAUUUUUUAUGGUGCUGUUCACUUUAACCCUUGCAUAUGAUUUUAGGGGCAGGUGGCAAAUAACUGAAGAAGGAAAUGUUAGUUUAGCUUCCAAAUAAAUUUUGCUCUUAUCAAAGAUUCACAGAGAAGUCUUACACAUUUUCAGAAAUGCACUUAAUUGAUAGAAAAGAUUGCUUUAUCUCUUAAGAUACCUAGGAUAGUUAGAUGGCUAGGAAGCUGAUUGUAAUUUUAAUCAGCAUUAUAGAAGAGUAGUCUGAUAAGCUGGUGAAAGAGAAAAAAGACGUUAUCAAUAGUGUUUUUUAAAAUAGUAUUAUCUGAAGUAACCUGAAUAUUUUUUCUCAUCUUGUGCAAACAUUCAAUGAUAAUACAGACAGUAAUUCAGACUAAUUAAGAAAUAAAACCUUUUUUUUUAAUGCCAGCAUUUCAGUCAUAAGAAUGUAAGAAGAGCCUAUCAGUUCCAACAUUCUGUUCACGCAAUGGUCAAACUAGAUUCCUGGGCAACGUCCACAAGCAGGACAUCAGCACAGUGGCAUGAAAAGCCAUCAUAUGAAAACUCACCCAAUGAAAAAUUGGCAUUUCCUCACUUCCUCUUGGUCUCUGUAGCUAUAGAAGCACAGGCUGGACAGGGCCGGACCUACCAUUAGACAGAGUGAAGAAGGCGCUUCUGGAAGAAGAUGCUGAGGCCUGGGGAGAAACAGCAAGACACCGGAGCACCGAAGUGCCACACAGUCUGUCCUGUGCCCCCUGAGCUGGUUGCAAUCAGAGGAGGACUGCUGCCAGUGUUGAAGAAAGAUUCAACUGUCAAUCCAGCUGAGGUAGUUUUGUUUGUUUUUUUACACAGAAUAGAGGAAGGCACCAUCUUGUACCAUAAGGAGAGGAAAUUUCAUUAGCUUGUUAGCAGGGGCUGCAUAGCAGAGGCAGGC